CACACAAAUACAACCCUUGAUUGUUUGAUCCCAUAUUUACAAUCAGUUACACACAACAUAUCUGCCAUACAUGCACACACACAUACAUCUGUAGCUUAUAAUGCCCCAGGUCCAGACUAUAUAACACAUGGUAGUGCAUGCAGGCACACACACCAUUGCGUUAUAUUGCAUUACAUAAAAAAUCACAAUCACACUGUGACACAAAUCUAUAUGCUUCCCCACAUCAUCACAUACACACUGUUACCACAGACUCUCAGGCAUACACUACCUUCACAAUCUAUAUAAGAGGGAGGGAAAAAUGAGACACAAAGAGAAAUAAAUGGAGGGAGAGACAGAGAAAGAGAGAGAGGAAAAAAAAAAGACAAUUGUUGAGGAUUGUAUUAGUAAGUUCCUCCCACCAGAGGGCUCCACUCCAACACAUUGGCAUUCUAUCUGCACUGUCUCCUCUUUCUCUCCUCUGUCUUGCGCACGCAAAGGCGCACGCGCAUGCACACAGACACACACACAUUAUGACAUCAUUGAUCUGGGGGGGCUGGGGAACCAAAGUAUUGGCAACGAUUACAUCAUCCUUUAGCUCAGCCAAUCCUUGCAGAUAGCCAACCUAUGUGUAGGUGUGUGUGUGUGUGUGUGUGUGUGUGUGUGUGUGUGUGUUCACACAUCUAUAGGUCAGAAUCAUCCAUUUGCAUGAGAGGUGAAGGAGGACAUAAAGAGAAAUAAAGGAGACAAAGCAAAAGGACAAAGAAAGAUGCAAGUAGCAUCAAUAAAGGGAUAAGGCUAGAGGAGCUGCGGAGAGAAAAGCGAGAGAAAGAAAGAAUGAAAGAAAGAAAGCAUUGGCAAAAUUUGAGGAACACCUGUACAGUUAUCUAAUCAGCCAAUCAUGGCAGCAGUGUAACGCAAAAUAUCAUGUGGAUACAGGUCCUCUCCAAUGCCUAGAGCGAGUCCGUCUUUGGUCCACUGGACGAUGCCCGUGUAGUUAAACACCACACAGGAGAGUACAACCCGCUCCCCCAACACCACCGACUGAUCUGCUGGCUCCU